rnacentral:rRNA from 1 species
UACGAAGGGAGCUAGCGUUGUUCGGAAUCACUGGGCGUAAAGCGCACGUAGGCGGAUGUGUCAGUCAGGGGUGAAAUCCCGGAGCUCAACUUCGGAACUGCCUUUGAUACAGCACGUCUUGAGUCCGGAAGAGGUGGGUGGAAUUCCUAGUGUAGAGGUGAAAUUCGUAGAUAUCAGGAAGAACACCCGUGGCGAAGGCGGCUCUCUGGGACGGUACUGACGCUGAGACGCGAAAGCGUGGGGAGCGAACAGG